GCUUACGGCCAUAUCAGCCUGGGUACUCCAGAUAUCGUCUGAUCUCGGAAGCUAAGCAGGGUCUGGCCUGGUUAGUACUUGGAUGGGAGACCACCUGGGAAUACCAGGUGCUGUAAGCA
rnacentral:rRNA from 1 species